rnacentral:tRNA from 1 species
AGCUCUGUAGUCUAGUGGUCAAGGAUACGGGACUCUGACUCCCGUGACCCCGGUUCGAAUCCGGGCAGAGCUA